AAAGAAAAAAAACGAACGAAAAAAAAAGAAAAAAAAAGGAGCAUCGCUCCUGCAGCCCUAGCCGCGUCACCCCCUGCGUUUUGCCGCCGCCACUGUUGUUCCUGUCGCCGCCGGCGGCGCCGCCGCCGCCGGUUCAGCCGUCGUCGUCCUUCGCCACCCCAUCCGCUCAUCUCCUUGCGUGGCUUGUUGCUGUUGCAUCGAUCAGAGACGAGAAGGCUCCAGACAGCAGAGAAAGCAGUUGAACAGGAGUAACAAGGGAAGGAAAAGGUACCUAAUAACAUUGAUCGGUAUGGGGCGGGAGUAGCACCCUUGGACUACACAUUAUCAUUGCACACAACUAAAAUUUAGUUUUAGACUAUAUAUAUAUAUAUUUUUUUGCUCAGCAUAAGUUUUGCAUAGAACUUGUAAAGGUCAUUUAAGGUUCUGAUUCUUAUUUUUUCACGUGGGGUUUGUGGAGCUAGGAUUGUGGAUUAUAUCGGUAUUGACUUUUCUUAUAACUGCCUGUCGUGGAUGUCCGUAUUUUUAGGGUAGAUUCUGCCGAAAUUUCUAAUAAUUUUGGGACUUA